rnacentral:rRNA from 1 species
GACGAACGCUGGCGGCGUGCUUAACACAUGCAAGUCGAACGGAAAGGCCCCCUUGUGGGGUACUCGAGUGGCGAACGGGUGAGUAACACGUGAGUAACCUACCCUUGACUUUGGGAUAACUUCAGGAAACUGGGGCUAAUACCGGAUAGGAGCUCCUGCUGCAUGGUGGGGGUUGGAAAGUUUCGGCGGUUGGGGAUGAACUCGCGGCUUAUCAGCUUGUUGGUGGGGUAGUGGCUCACCAAGGCUUUGACGGGUAGCCGGCCUGAGAGGGUGACCGGCCACAUUGGGACUGAGAUACGGCCCAGACUCCUACGGGAGGCAGCAGUGGGGAAUAUUGCACAAUGGGCGGAAGCCUGAUGCAGCAACGCCGCGUGCGGGAUGACGGCCUUCGGGUUGUAAACCGCUUUCGCCUGUGACGAAGCGUGAGUGACGGUAAUGGGUAAAGAAGCACCGGCUAACUACGUG